rnacentral:rRNA from 1 species
UACGUAGGGCGCGAGCGUUGUCCGGAAUCAUUGGGCGUAAAGAGCUCGUAGGCGGCCGGUUGCGUCUGCUGUGAAAUCCCGGGGCUUAACCCCGGGCGUGCAGUGGAUACGGGCUGGCUGGAGGCAGGCAGGGGAGAAUGGAAUUCCCGGUGUAGCGGUGAAAUGCGCAGAUAUCGGGAGGAACACCGGUGGCGAAGGCGGUUCUCUGGGCCUGUGCUGACGCUGAGGAGUGAAAGCGUGGGGAGCGAACAGG